rnacentral:lncRNA from 1 species
GAAAGUUGAACUCCUAACGCCGCCACCAAAGAAAGACGGCCCCGCCGCUGAGAAACCGGCGGAGAAGAAAUCCGACGAGAAAAAACCUGAAGAGAAGAAAGCUGAAGAGAAAAAACCUGAAGAAAAAAAGCCUAAAGAGGUAAUUUAAUUUUUAAAUUAUUUAUUUAAUUCUUAAUUUUCUUCAUAUGCUUAAUUUCACUAACCGACUUUGUAUUAAUUAAUUUAUUUCAGAGUACGGUGGUUUUGAAGAUCAGAUUGCACUGUGACGGUUGCAUUACGAAAAUUAAAAAAAUCAUUAUGAAGUUCAAAGGUGAGAUAGUUGACCCUAAUUUCUAAAUUGUUUAUAAAAUUUAGUAUAAAAAAAAAAUUGUUUAUAACAUUUAAAAGAAGAGAAUACUCUUUAUUAUUAUAUUUUUUGGAUAACUUAUUUAUCUAAUAUAGAUUAUAUAUGUGGAUUAUUAUUUAACGAACUUAUUUUUUUUUAGGAACAAUAUCUUAUUGUUUUGAUUUGAUUAAUUGUUAAUUCGGUGGCUAAUUAAGGAUAAUGUUAUUGUUGUUUAACAGGGGUUGAAACGGUGAAAUUUGACGGAGACAAGGAUUUAGUAACAGUGAAAGGAACAAUGGAACCGAAGGAUUUGAUAGAGUAUCUGAAAGAGAAACUGAAGAGAAACGUUGAUAUGGUUCCACCAAAGAAAGAAGAAGAGAAGAAAGAAAAAGAUGGUGGUGGCGAAAAGAAAGAGAAAGACGGUGGAGGUGAAAAGAAAGAGAAAAAAGAUGGUGAGAAGAAAGUGGACGGUGGAGAUCAAGCGAAGGUGGAAGUUAAUAAAAUGGAGUAUCAGUACCCGAUGCAGUCUCCAAUGUAUUGGUA